GCUGUGAUCUGUAACUGACACCUCUCCAGGUCUGCCCUGCUCCCCUUGCCUGGACACUGUGGGAUGGCCCAUGGCUCCUGGCUCCCUGUUCCUUACUGACCAAAGGGUCCUUCCUGCUCCCUAGGCACUCUAUGCUGACUGAAUCCAGACAAGCGGGAGAGCCUAUCGGAUUGACUAGACUAAAGGUAAUUGAAGAAGGACAACUCUGUCUGCACAUUCCAACCCCUCAGUAUUGGUAGCUUGUCACUGACAAAAACCAUCCUGGAUUCUAUGUCUGUAAUCAAGAUUCUGGUUGGAUUUCCAAAAAGGAGGAGAGGAAGUAGAGAGGAAACAAAGCUACAUUGUGAUAAAAUAAAGAACUGAGUGCCUGCACUUCUGGAAU